UCAACCCAGAAUUGCUUGGCCCAGUAUCAAUUCGUACGUUCCCCAUAAUGUCAGCCAUAGCAGUGGAUACGUCGUGGUCGUCGUGUACGGAAGCAAAUCAGCUAAAGCAGCAGGAGUCAAAGGCUCAGUCAAUGCAAUAGAUAGUGUUGUAGAAAAGCAAAAAACAAAAAAACAAAAAAAUCAUACAAAUGUGAAAAUGCCUGAAAAAUUACAGCAGCAGCAGCAGCAGCAGCAGCAAAGGGAAUGAAGGAAAAUUGUGCAAGAUAUUGUAUGGUUUUUCUAAAAAGAAAUUUGCACAAUUUAACGCUAACCGACCACCUCGGAAGCUCGGAAGCUGUGCACAAAGUAAUUUAAAAUCGAAUCGAAAAAAGCUCAAAACGAAAAAGAAAAUUACCAUAAAGUGCUUGAAAUUUGUGCGAGGAAAAGGGUGUGAGGAAUAUUACUUAACUGGCAUUGUAGUUUUAGCCAAUCGACAAGCGUGGGUGCUCUCGAGCUACAAUAAAAACAAAGCUGUGCAUGAAGAACUAUGUAUGUUUGCAAAAACAAAGUACACCAAUAAAAAAAGUAAUAAAACUAAUUAUAUGUAUGUGUAAUAUAAACCAAAAAACGUAAGCUUUAAUUAAGUGAAAUUACAACCCCAAAAACUUGUAUACGUAAACGCAGUGUUGUAAUUUGUGGUGAUGCGCUAUUGUGAUAAGAAUUUCCCUCUCCCCCAAGAACACAGCAGAGAAAAAUAAUUAAAUAGUUAUACUAGUUGUAUAAAAUCUUAAAUUUUACAUACAAAAAUACUUACUACAUAGACUUUAUUAGUGACUUUUUUAUAAAUUGGUCAGCAUUCGUGAAAUAAAAAUGUCUACAUUUCCUGAAAAAAAUAAAAAAAAAAUAGUUUUCGACUUGUGUUCAUUUAUGAAAUUUGCUACCUUUUCGAAUAUUUUUUAAAAUUGUGAUUUUGGAGAUACUCCAGUGAAUAAGAACAAAAACAAAAAACAAAAAA